rnacentral:rRNA from 1 species
UAUCCUUAUUUGCCAGCGCGUAGUGGCGGGAACUCUAAGGAGACUGCCGGUGAUAAACCGGAGGAAGGUGGGGACGACGUCAAGUCAUCAUGGCCCUUAUGACCAGGGCUACGCACGUGCUACAAUGGGGCGUACAGAGGGUUGCUAAGCCGCGAGGUGGAGCCAAUCCCAGAAAACGUUUCGUAGUCCGGAUCGAAGUCUGCAACUCGACUUCGUGAAGUCGGAAUCGCUAGUAAUCGCGAAUCAGCAUGUCGCGGUGAAUACGUUC